rnacentral:sRNA from 1 species
CAAGGCGUUAAAUAGCCUGAAAAACACACAUGCACCGACACAUGGUCCCGGGUGCCGUCGGCGAGUCCGAGGGUCGGAUCCAUGGGGUGCGUGGAGGCCCAACC